rnacentral:rRNA from 1 species
CACGUAGGGGGCGAGCGUUGUCCGGAUUCAUUGGGCGUAAAGGGCGCGCAGGCGGCCCGGAAAGUCGGAUGUGAAAUCCCGAGGCUCAACCCCGGGCCUGCAGCCGAUACGGGCAAGCUAGAAUUCGGUAGGGGAGACUGGAAUUCCUGGUGUAGCGGUGAAAUGCGCAGAUAUCAGGAGGAACACCGAUGGCGAAGGCAGGUCUCUGGGCUGACACUGACGCUCAUGCACGAAAGCGUGGGGAGCAAACAGG